AUUGAACGCUGGCGGCAGGCCUAACACAUGCAAGUCGAACGGUAACAGGAAACAGCUUGCUGUUUCGCUGACGAGUGGCGGACGGGUGAGUAAUGUCUGGGAAACUGCCUGAUGGAGGGGGAUAACUACUGGAAACGGUAGCUAAUACCGCAUAACGUCGCAAGACCAAAGAGGGGGACCUUCGGGCCUCUUGCCAUCGGAUGUGCCCAGAUGGGAUUAGCUUGUUGGUGGGGUAACGGCUCACCAAGGCGACGAUCCCUAGCUGGUCUGAGAGGAUGACCAGCCACACUGGAACUGAGACACGGUCCAGACUCCUACGGGAGGCAGCAGCGGGGAAUAUUGCACAAUGGGCGCAAGCCUGAUGCAGCCAUGCCGCGUGUAUGAAGAAGGCCUUCGGGUUGUAAAGUACUUUCAGCGGGGAGGAAGGGAGUAAAGUUAAUACCUUUGCUCAUUGACGUUACCCGCAGAAGAAGCACCGGCUAACUCCGUG
rnacentral:rRNA from 1 species